AUGAUUACUCAGUAUUGGGUAGUAUCUCGCCUGUACUCUGCCUGUCUCUGGCUUGUUGUCUCCUGUGUUCCCUGCUUGCCUCGUACUUACCUGCCCUGUUCCUCCGACUUCCCCCCAGGUACCUCUCGUUCAUUUGACUGCACUCCUCUUCAAGAAAGAAACUCCCGGAAUCACCCUGCUUCCAGCAACACCGCUCACCCUGACCGCCUGCUCUCCAACGCUCACCUGCCCCGCUCGGACACUUUGGAUUCCUGCCCUCUGCUCCCAGCCAUCAUCUCUGCCCCUCACAACCAUCUCGCGCAGCCAGACCUGACUCGCCCUCCUCUCAAGCACCCCAAACGCUCUGGAAACAAACGCUAUUGGACCCUCCCGAACCCCAGACCGUCACCUGCACUGCUACCAAACAAAUACUUUUUUACACACCUUUGCCUCCGUGGUGAUUCUACAUGCCGUCGGUCAAAAAACUACACCCCAACAUGACAUUAACAGGGCAUGACAGUCUAAAAAAGAGUUCUGCAUGGAACAGGGGAUGGAUAAACCCUUGAGCUGUUGGCUCCAACUGAAUCUAAUGACUCAAACUGUGCAAAAUAAAAAUUCUUUGUAUUUUAGAACUUUGAGUUGAACAUAUCAGAGAAUCCAUCACAGAGAAAUAGGUGUGUGCUAGUGAAUGUGUGAUUAAACUGGCUGGACUUAAGUAACUUUAAAUUGUAAAUAUUCAUGCUGCAUGUAAAAACCGCUUGAUAUCAUUGAUUUGUGUUAUUUGAAAAAUGUCUGUGCUUCUUAGAAUUACGUAACUUGUGGAGAAAUCAACAAAAUGGAUGCAACAGUUGGAAGGUUUUCUAAAAGGAUCCUGACAGAAAUCAUCAUAUACUAGUUUCUCCUCUCCGUUCAUUUGGAUCCUAAACGUUGAUUGCAGCUUCUCAGGUUUAAACGCUAGCCUCCAGGAUUACUAUGGAUGGUUACUGCCAUCACUAAGAUUGGUUUGUUUUUUCCAUUGAUAACUAUUCUUCAGAGCCAUGGAAGAAACUUCAACGUUAGUUGAAUUUUUCCUCUUAGGGCAUGAAACCUAAUGUGAAAAAUCAAUCAAAUCCUCCAAUAAGAAGCAGCUCAGAAGCAAAAGAGAAGUGGGAUGUCUGCAAGCAUCCUCCACGUAACCAAAGCUUUUAUGAAAGCGGUCCUCACAUCUCAGCUGUUUUGAUUUAACUACUUUGUCUGCCAGUGUACGUGUGCACCUGGUUUCAUGCAUCCUGGUGGUUUAACACACAAGCAGUGUGCACACACCACCUCUGGCUUAUGACAGACAUAAUAAAACAUUUGUGAAGGAUGGGACCAUCUAUCAUGCGGUGUGGGCCACCGAGAAUGAGGCAGGCUUAAAAGCACAAACAAGAGUCUCCUGCAGAAUGUAGAGAGAGGGACGAGAGAGAGAGAGAGAGAGAGAGAGAGAGGUGGGGGUGGGGGUAACUAAAUUUAUAUCAUGUUACACAGUGAAAUGUGACCUCGUAAUGACAUCAGUGAAAUUCAAUCAAGUCCUUGACUCAGUAUUACUUAAGGUAAACCAGUGUUCUUCCUGAUGUGAAAUGAGGAUAUUUAAUUCAAUGUUGUUGUUUUUACUACUGCUUCAACUUUGAAUGCAGUUUUCAUGAUGGAAGACAAAAGAAUUUGCCAUAGCAAAACAUCAAUAUGUUGGGUUUUUAUAGAUUAAACCAACCAAUAUCCUUUUAAAAGCUGCAUUCAGAAGCACCAGUUUGAGUUUUCUCCCUUUACCGACAAGAACUAGAACAAUUACCAAGUGGUGGAAUUGAAACUGCAAAUGUUGAAAUGUCAAGUGACUGUUUUACGAAGACUUAAAAUUAGGGACCUCUCUUUUCAGAGAGCAGUCUGCGUGUUUUCAUUUUCUGCUCAUUCUAAGUUCAAAUCUGUGGUGGGAAUGAUUUUCCUUUGCAGACAGCAUACCUCAAGGACAGUCAAGUUAGUUGCAUGUGAAAUUCUGUAGAGGACAGGCCAGAAACAUAGUUUAUAGAGGUAGCAGAGACCCACAUAGCAGCAAAAGCGAUGCAGAAGGACAGAUUUGCAUAAUAUGCAUAGACAUAAAUACUAGACGUAGGACUGCCCAUUUCUCUCAUUUUUAAUUUUGAGGAAGAUGAGGAAGGGGCAAAUUUGCAGAUUUCUGACCAAAGGGCUGCCGCUGUUAAAGGUGGAGGCCAGUUGGCAAACCUCCAUUAUGUGACCUUGCAGACCGUUGACCGGUGAACCAGUGAAGCCCCCAAGUCUCUGCUAGCUAGCCUUGGUCAGUUUACCUAACUUGAGUUUUGUUAACCAACUCGCCCCGCCAACACAUUAUGUCUCGCCCCAUCUUUGACCAAGCAGUGUUUAAAGCACACACAUUCACAGCAUUUUCCCCCAAUCAACCAGCAAAAUAAAAUACAGAAAAAUUAUUUUACUUACAGAAUAAAAAUGAAGCAGAGACGUUUGGGAUGAUCUGAAUCAAUAUCACACCUUGUACUAUUUUUCCAGAUAAAUCAAUGAUUAAAAUCCAAACGUGAACACACAGAGGCCACAACUAAAUUCAGAGAGACAAAAUGGCCGAACAUCUAUUGAUGUGAAUCUGAGGCUGAGGCCUUCCCCAGCCGUUAGCUCUGAGGUGGCUCUGACGAUCAUGCUACCUGCCAGUCAAAUCUAAUUAUUCAUAAUUUCAAGCACUAAAUUACACCUACUGUAAAUGGAAGAGUUAGAAAAAAAUUCACCCCCUCAGAGUUGUCAUAAACUAGAUCUUUAAAACCUAAAUGUCUAGUUUUGUUUAAACCGGGAUGUAAGCAUGUUUAUUUCUGCUGUGAAAUUGACAUUUUUAACAGGGGAGUCAAUGAGGAUUUUCUGUUUUUGAUCCACUAUGUGGCUAGUGAAAACAUGUACAGAAAGACUGAGAGAAAGAAUGAGCAGCUGUGCUGAUUUGGAUUCUUUAUCAUGUUAAAGUUUGUGUCUUAGAUUAGGCGGAGUAAAAGAGAAAGUAAGAUUUUCAACACGGCCCUCUUGACAUUUUUAUUAGUUGUUGGUGUUGUUAAGCCUGCCUACUGCUCCUGGCAAAAGUGGCCUUGAAGGUAGGUGGUGAAUCACAGCAUGACCAACAUACACUGCCUGGAAAAAAAAAAGUUGCUACAAAAAAGAGGUUACAUACUCUAAUAUUUUGUUGGACCACCUUUAGCUUUGGCUAUGGCACACAUUCACUGUGGCAUUGCUUCGAUAAGCUUCUAUGUCACUAGAUUUAUUUCCAUCUAGUGUUGAAUUAAUUUUUCACCAAGAUCUUUCACUGAUGAUGGUAGUCUGACCACUGCACAAAGCCUUCUCCAGCACAUCCCAAAAUAUUCUCAAUGGGGUUACGGUCUGGACUCUCUGGUGGCCAAUCGUUGUGUGAAAAUAAUGUCUCAUGCUCUCUGAACCACUCUCUCACUAUCUGAGCCCUUUGAAUCCUGGCACUGUCAUCUUGGAAUAUACCCGUUCCAUCAGAUAAGAUGGAAUAACCUGGUCAUUCAGUACAUACAGAUAGUCAGCUGACCUCAUUCUUAGAGCACAUCCUGUUGCUGAACCUAGACCUGACCAACUGCAGCAACCCCAGUUCAUAGCACUGCCCCGACAGGCUUGCACAGUAAGCCCUACCAUGAUGGGUGCAUCACUGGGACAGCUAAGAUUGUGUCCCGUAGCCCUAAAAUAAAUGAUGUUGGAAUGAAACUCAGCAAAGUGAAGAUGACACCUGCUGCCAGGGCUGCACGUCUAUCUCUCCCGUUACUCUUUUUAGUUUUCCUAUGUUUUAGCUGUGUUAGCUGUUUAUGGACUGAUCUAUGUUCAACAUUUUGUUAUGAUCAACUCACCCUUCUGAAACAUUGACCAAAUGGUGGAUCUACUCUCUUCCACAGCUUGGAGUUUGGAAAGUCUUUUGGCUCACUGUUUUUUACUGUUGCAACAUUCUUGACUAGCUCUCUUAGCCGGGCAUGGCACUAGGGGAGGCAUCGCAGAUGCGGCAAGCAAGGGAGUCGCUGAGUGAGGCUUAGAACUUCCCUAAUGUUAUUGUUCAGGAAGUUUCUUCUUUCCCUGCCUAGACCCUCAUCCCUGCUACCAGCAGAUGCACCCCGUUCAGAUCCUCCGUCGCAGGACACUUGGUCCAUCCAUUUAUAUCAUGGAUCACGGCCGUUGGCUUCGGUGCACUGAUGGGGUUAACCGUGCUAACCUCUGCUAUCCGAAGAUGAGCAGGUUGGAUGUUUAUCAUCAACCAGUAGGCCAGGUGCCUUUUUCGCCUCUAAGGAUUGCUCUUCUGAGUGCAUGGUCAAUUGGGAAUAAAACAACUAUUCAUUUAUCAAGCGGCCCUUAUGUUCCUUAUGACGGAAACGUGGGUCCAGCCCGGUGAGUCGGCCUUCCUACCAGUACUGUGUCCUCCAGACUGUUUUGUUUUAAAUGAGACUUGACUCUCUGGCUUUGGCGGGGGUUUACUAACUCUAUAUAAGUCGUCCCACCAUUGCUGUGGGCUCCACUGACCACCCAAAUAUAACUGCUUUUCUUAAUAAAUUUUCUGAUUCCUUAACAGAUUUUCUGCUGAAAUAUGAUAGCAGGAUAAUCCUUGGUGAAUUUAACAUUAAUGUGUGCUGCAGUGGCGGUUCUACAUCGAAUUACUACCCGGGCGAGGCCCCCUUUGAGCCCCCCCCCCCCCCCCC
ensembl:lncRNA